UUCAUGGUUUCCCAAAGCUUAAAGAGUAGCAGAGCUUCAAAGGAUACCAUCAUUAAAUAUCUUUUCUUUAGGCUAUUCAUUAAGUAAUAGCCAGAAAGAGAAAAAAAGAAAAAUCAACUCAUCAGUACUGUAACAUAGACCUGCCUGUGAGGAAGAGCACUGUUCAGCAAACAGCCUUGAGCACUAUACCCCAUUCUUCAUUUCAGCAGCUGAGAAAACCCCGUGACUCUAACAAGUAUCACUGAGCCUCAGUGGGAAAGAGCCCUCCGCAGCGGACUCACUGGUGCUCAAACCCACGCUGCUUGCUCCAGCCCUUCUUGACAGCAGGAUACACAGCGCGCUGCCUUUGUGCAAAAUCAGACAACACUGCUGCCCCCGGUUGCCUCCAGGCAAAAUCCAGCAUCAUUCAUUCCCA